rnacentral:sRNA from 1 species
AAAAAAUUGAAAAAAAAA